rnacentral:rRNA from 1 species
UACGUAGGGUGCAAGCGUUAAUCGGAAUUACUGGGCGUAAAGCGUGCGCAGGCGGUUUUGUAAGUCUGUCGUGAAAUCCCCGGGCUCAACCUGGGAAUUGCGAUGGAGACUGCAAGGCUAGAAUCUGACAGAGGGGGGUAGAAUUCCACGUGAUAGCAGUGGAAUGCGUAGAGAUGUGGAGGAACACCGAUGGCGAAGGCAGCCCCC